rnacentral:rRNA from 1 species
AACGAACGCUGGCGGCAUGCCUAACACAUGCAAGUCGAACGAGACCUUCGGGUCUAGUGGCGCACGGGUGCGUAACGCCUGGGAACCUGCCCUUAGGUUCGGAAUAACUCCCCGAAAGGGGUGCUAAUACCGGAUAAUGUCUUCGGACCAAAGAUUUAUCGCCUUUGGAUGGGCCCGCGUUGGAUUAGCUAGUUGGUAGGGUAAAAGCCUACCAAGGCGACGAUCCAUAGCUGGUCUGAGAGGAUGAUCAGCCACACUGGGAAUGAGACACGGCCCAGACUCCUACGGGAGGCAGCAGUGGGGAAUAUUGGACGAUGGGCGAAAGCCUGAUACAGCAAUGCCGCGUGAGUGAUGAAGGCCUUAGGGUUGUAAAGCUCUUUUACCCGGGAUGAUAAUGACAGUACCGGGAGAAUAAGCUCCGGCUAACUCCGUG